AGGGUUCGAUUCUGGCUCAGGAUGAACGCUAGCGACAGGCUUAACACAUGCAAGGUCGAGGGGCAGCAAUAAAAGUAGCAAUACUUGGUGGCGACCGGCGCACGGGUGAGUAACGCGUAUGCAACCUACCUAUCAGGAGGGGAAUAACCCGGCGAAAGUCGGACUAAUACCGCAUAAAACAGGGGCACCGCAUGGUGAUAUUUGUUAAAGAAAUUCGCUGAUAGAUGGGCAUGCGUUCCAUUAGGUAGUUGGUGAGGUAACGGCUCACCAAGCCGACGAUGGAUAGGGGAACUGAGAGGUUGGUCCCCCACACUGGUACUGAGACACGGACCAGACUCCUACGGGAGGCAGCAGUGAGGAAUAUUGGUCAAUGGGCGGGAGCCUGAACCAGCCAAGUCGCGUGAAGGAAGAAGGAUCUAUGGUUCGUAAACUUCUUUUGCAGGGGAAUAAAGUGCAGGACGUGUCCUGUUUUGUAUGUACCCUGAGAAUAAGGAUCGGCUAACUCCGUGCCAGCCGCCGC
rnacentral:rRNA from 1 species